UUCUGUCAUAGUUGGCGCAAACUUGAAGUCAUAAUGAAACUACAUGGUCUAGAUCUAGAUACAAUCCAACCUACACACAUAAUAGCUGACCCAGAACUUCAUAUCAUAAGCUUGACGAAAUUGCAAUGCCAAAAUUCGGGGUUGGACUACAGUUAUGAGCCAGGAAACCGUACUUGAGACCAUACCUGACCAUGCAAUCCCGUAAAGCUGAACCAAUAAGGAGUUGCUGUGCAGGAACUCUUCUUUGUCCUGACCACUUUGUUAUAGGAACAUUAUACUGUAUUCAAUUAAAAGGAGAAAUAAUUUCUCUGGAAAAAUGCUGUUGAUGGCAUUUACCCCAAACACCUUCACCACCUGCCCGUCUAGAGUUCAAAGCAUUGUACAGAAAAGAGUGUGAUCUACUGAUGAACCAGUCCACAUUGAGUACAUUGUGAUUACCCUUCUAGUGUGUUGAUGUCUACCUAGUCAUUGUUUAUGACAAUUGCCAACCAUUAGGACACGGCCAAUUCCAUUAAUGUUGAUGAUUAAUAUUGUUAAUGUGUCAUAAAAUUCACUCACAAUAUUUGUGCUCAUUUAGUUAUAUACUAGCUUAAUAUAAGUCUGAUUUAAAAUGUAAUUUAUGCAUCUAGCUUAAGCACAGCUGCUCUAUUGAGUUUGUUAAGAAUGUAUGUCUGACCUUAUAAAAAUUACUGUUCAGCAAUUGCUUCUUUACUUAGGUAAUGUUUCCACUAGUUUCACUUUAGUCAUAUUGUCUCUAACAUGCAGUCUUUUAAAUACAGAAUGUAUUGGCCUUAAGACACUGCUGUUCCUUCUUUUAGUUUAUAAUUGUUAAUAAUUGUUUUGAAAUGUAAUA